CGAACGGGUGAGUAACGCGUGAGGAACCUGCCUCAAAGAGGGGGACAACAGUUGGAAACGACUGCUAAUACCGCAUAAGCCCACGGCUCGGCAUCGAGCAGAGGGAAAAGGAGUAAUCCGCUUUGAGAUGGCCUCGCGUCCGAUUAGCUAUUUGGUGAGGUAACGGCCCACCAAGGCGACGAUCGGUAGCCGGACUGAGAGGUUGAACGGCCACAUUGGGACUGAGACACGGCCCAG
rnacentral:rRNA from 1 species